GUCUACAGUCAUACCACCCUGAACAUGCCCGAUCUCGUAAAUUAAGCAGGGUUGGGCCUGGUUAGUACUUGGAUGGGAGAUACCUGUAUUCCACAUUGGAGUGUCUUGAGUUUGAGUCC
ensembl:rRNA 5S_rRNA 5S ribosomal RNA